AUUUGGUAUCUCUAGGGCAACAAACUUGACAAUCAAGAUCAGUUACCACAUGCCUCUCUCCUCGAUAAAGAGCAAGCUGCGAAGGGCGAUUACAGCUGGACACAGGUGAGUGAGCCAGAAGGAACUGACCAGCCUUAGGAAGGAACCGUCACAGCUAGGCCAUGCUCCAGAUAUUAAUUUCUGAGUCACUGGCCAGGAGCGAGAUCCCAGUGUAAGAGUCCCCUGUGAUGUAACGUCUGGAAGAAUUCCACAGAGAAAGAAGUCAGAAACUUCUACACAGCUGACAGAUCAAGAUCACCAGGGCUGGGAAGUUUUCUCAGGAGUAAAGUGUGAGGAGCGGAGUUUAAAUCCCAGCAGCCGUGUAAAAGCUGCUGCAGGAGCAUGUCUGCAAUCUCAGGCCUGGGGGAAGUGAGCAAAGACAGCAGCUGCUGAGAACUUACUGGGCAGCCGUGGAGACAAAGUGCCAAGCUCCAGAUUCCGUGGGAGCCCCAGGAAAUAAGGUGAAAGUCAGCUCCCUCAGCAUCCUGUCUGCCUGCCUUCAAGCUUUCGUGCUUCCCACCAUGAUGACAACGGACUGAACCUCAGAAUCUACAAGUCAGCCCCAAUUAAAUGUUGUUUUAGUCAUGGUGUCUUUUCACAGCAAUGAAAAUUCUAAGAUAGAAGUUACUAACAAGGACUAGGGUAUUGCUGUGAUAGGCCUGACCAUGCUUUUGUGGAUUUUGUAACUUUGGAUUUGGAAAGCAGUGGAAUGCUUUAAGUGGGACUUAAUGGGACAGCCUAGUAGGAAUAGGGAGGACAUUGGUGCUAAGGGUGAACUCUGCGGGUCUGGCUCAAGAGAUUUCAGAGGAGAAUAACUUGAGUAUGUGGCCUGGAGACUGCUUUUGUGAUACUUUGGUGAGGAAUGUAGGUACUUUUUGCCCUCGUUUGAAGUGUCUGCCUGAGGCUCAAGUGAAGAGAUUCAAAUUAAUUGCAAUGACAGAAGUCUCAGAAAAGGCCCUUCGCUGUCUUUCCAAGAAGAAUUUUUUUGUCCUUAACCAAAUGUGAAAUGCACAUUUUGAGCACAAAGAAUCAAAGCUCCAACAGCAAACUGACAUGACAUCCUUUACAGGAAGUAAAAUAUUUAAAGACAGAGUCAGAGUCUUCUAUUCCCCUCCCCCCAGGAAGAAACCCUUUAAUAUUCCCAUUAACCUUGAUGUGAAUCACAGCGCUCCUUCUUCCCUGUAGGCAGAUAAUCAUGACUCACCACAGACCCCUGACUGUGGGCUUCAUGUAAUUCUGGCAGCAAAGGCCUUCCUC
rnacentral:lncRNA from 1 species